UACGAAGGGGGCUAGCGUUGCUCGGAAUGACUGGGCGUAAAGGGCGCGUAGGCGGCUUGCACCGUCAGAUGUGAAAUUCCUGGGCUUAACCUGGGGGCUGCAUUUGAUACGUGUGGGCUUGAGUGCGGAAGAGGGUCGUGGAAUUCCCAGUGUAGAGGUGAAAUUCGUAGAUAUUGGGAAGAACACCGGUGGCGAAGGCGGCGACCUGGUCCGUGACUGACGCUGAGGCGCGAAAGCGUGGGGAGGCAAACAGG
rnacentral:rRNA from 1 species